AACGGCCAUAUUUUGCUGUACACAUCAGUUCUUAUUGGAUUACUGAAGUUAAGCAUCAUCGGGCCUGGUCAGUAGUUGGCAGGGUGGCCACAUGGGAACAGU